UACGUAGGGGGUUAGCGUUGUCCGGAAUCAUUGGGCGUAAAGAGCGUGUAGGCGGCCCGGUAAGUCCGCUGUAAAAGUCAAAGGCUCAACCUUUGAAUGUCAGUGGAUACUGCCGGGCUAGAGUCCGGAAGAGGCGAGUGGAACUCCUGGUGUAGCGGUGGAAUGCGCAGAUAUCAGGAAGAACACCAACGGCGAAGGCAGCUCGCUGGGACGGUACUGACGCUGAGACGCGAAAGCGUGGGGAGCGAACAGG
rnacentral:rRNA from 1 species